CGGGUGAGUAACGCGUGGGUAACCUGCCUCACACAGGGGAUAACAGUUGGAAACGGCUGCUAAUACCGCAUAAGCGCACAGUACCGCAUGGUACAGUGUGAAAAACUCCGGUGGUGUGAGAUGGACCCGCGUCUGAUUAGCUAGUUGCAGGGUAACGGCCUACCAAGGCGACGAUCAGUAGCCGACCUGAGAGGGUGACCGGCCACAUUGGGACUGAGACACGGCCCAA
rnacentral:rRNA from 1 species